rnacentral:rRNA from 1 species
CACGCCGUAAACGAUGAGCACUAGGUGUCGGGGUCGCAAGAUCUCGGUGCCGCAGUUAACGCAUUAAGUGCUCCGCCUGGGGAGUACGCACGCAAGUGUGAAACUCAAAGGAAUUGACGG